rnacentral:misc_RNA from 1 species
GGCCGAGGAGGGGAAGAGCCGCGGCGUAGCGAUGCCCGCCGCCGGCGAUCACCACCACCCGCCACUGCAGCAAUACUACGGCACCUUCUCGGGCGCCCCCAGUUACUCCCAGCCGCCGGCGAUGGGGUUCCCCCAGCCGAUCCCUCCGCCUGGCUCCGCCGCCAGCGCGCCGCCGUACCCACAGCCCCACCAUCAGUAUCCCGCUCCCGGAUACUACGCCCACGGCUAUCAAGUAAUUCCAGGUUAUGCUGCAGUUGC